rnacentral:rRNA from 1 species
AUUGAACGCUGGCGGCAGGCCUAACACAUGCAAGUCGAGCGAGCGGCGGACGGGUGAGUAAUGCCUGGGAAUUGCCCAGUCGAGGGGGAUAACAGUUGGAAACGACUGCUAAUACCGCAUACGCAUGGACUGCCCAGGUGGGAUUAGCUAGUUGGUGGGGUAAUGGCUCACCAAGGCGACGAUCCCUAGUUGGGCUGAGAGGAUGAUCAGCCACGCGGGAACUGAGACACGGUCCAGACUCCUACGGAGGGAAGCAGUGGGGAAUAUUGCACAAUGGAGGAAACCCUGAUGCAGACAUGCCGCGUGUGUGAAGAAGGCCUUCGGGUUGUAAAGCAAUUUCAGCGGGGAGGCGUUGCUCGCAGAAGAAGCACCGGCUAACUCCGUGCCAGCCGCCGCGGUAAUUC